rnacentral:rRNA from 1 species
GUAGGUGGCGAGCGUUAUCCGGAUUUACUGGGCGUAAAGCGCGUGCAGGCGGUUCCGUAAGUCGGACGUGAAAGCUCCUGGCUUAACUGGGAGAGGCCGUUCGAUACUGCGGGACUUGAGGUCGGGAGAGGGACGUGGAAUUUCCGGUGUAGUGGUGGAAUGCGUAGAUAUCGGAAGGAACACCAGUGGCGAAGGCGGCGUCCUGGCCCGCACCUGACGCUAAGACGCGAAAGCGUGGGUAGCGAACGGGAUUAGAUACCCCGGGUAGUCCACGCCGUAAACGGUGGAUACUAGGUGUUGGUGGCUAUCGUCAUCAGUGCCGUAGCUAACGCGUUAAGUAUCCCGCCUGGGGACUACGGCCGCAAGGCUA